rnacentral:rRNA from 1 species
AGUGAACGCUGGCGGUAGGCCUAACACAUGCAAGUCGAACGGCAGCACAGUAAGAGCUUGCGCUUACGGGUGGCGGGUGGCGGACGGGUGAGGAAUACAUCGGAAUCUACUUUUUCGUGGGGGAUAACGUAGGGAAAGUUACGCUAAUACCGCAUAUGACCUACGGGGGAAAGCAGGGGAUCUUCGGAGCUUGUGCGAUUGGACGAGCGGGUGUCGGAUUAGCUGGUUGGCGGGGUAAAGGCCCACCAAGGCGAGGAUCGGUAGCUGGUGUGAGAGGAUGAUCACCCACACUGGAACUUGGACACGGUCCAGACGCCUACGGGAGGCAGCAGUGGGGAAUAUUGGACAAUGGGCGCAAGCCUGGUCCAGCCAUACCGCGUGGGUGAAGGAGGCCUUCGGGUUGUAAAGCCCUUUUGUUGGGAAAGAAAAGCAGCAGGUUAAUACCCCGCUGUUCUGACGGUACCCAAAAAAUAAGCACCGGCUAACUUCGUG